rnacentral:lncRNA from 1 species
UAAACAUAAGUUAUAUCGUAUAAAUACUAGAAUUGCAAUUGUAUUAAAUAUAGUUUCACAGUUUACAUUGUUCAAACAGCUAGAACAAAAUCAACUUAAUCACGAAAUAUUUAGAUACUCAUGUCUAAAGCACAAAUAACCAAAUUAAAUAAAGACAACAUUACAUGAAAUAUGGUCUAACUAUGACUUGGAUGGUAUACCACCACAAAUUCUGCAACCCUUAGCUCCAAAUAAUGUGUCUUUGAAAUCUCCAAAAUCCCAACCCUUGCUGUGAAAUGAAGUUGGGAUUAUUUCAUUUCCAUCAUCUUAGAGUACAACAUCAUAACUUCAAGGUCCAUAAAAUUAAGGAAAAACAGAAGAAGAAAACAUAACUAUUGAGAGCAUGCACAACAAAAGUAAAAGACACCUAAAAUUAUUCUACAAGUCUCUUGCUAUAGAAAAAACUCAUUUAUCUUCUUAUGGGUAUACAAUUUCCGCUACGACACCUAAAAUUAAAUCCUCGAUGUUGUUUACAAUCUUUAUCUGUUUUACAAUUCCAAUAAACUAUCCUACCGAAAGAAGAAUUAGAAAUUGUGAUGCUAAAACAUAUGGAAAGAAAUAGAAUUAGAACAUAAACUAACUUCGGAGUUUUAACCAUAUUUUUAACUAUUUGCACCGAAAUAAUAGUAAAUGAGUUGGUCUCUUUAUAGUGUAUCAUAAAUUGCAUGGUCCUAUAGAAAUAAUUAAAUAGUUGAAGCAUUUUAAAAUUUUAAAACCCCUUCGGAAUUUUAGAAUCAUUACUCAAUGUAUCUUAAAUAUAUUAAUGUGUUAUUUUAAACCUUUAACACAUUUAGGAAGGCGUUCAUGUAAUAAACAUAAUAAUAAAAAUAAUUGAAUAUAAUUUUAAUAACUUGUCAUCCUUUAAAUAAUUUUAUUAUUUUUUUAACCCUUUUAUGACAAGUCAUCUUACGUUAUUCUUAGCAUGUUUUUCAGUCAAUUUUAGUAGGUUUUACCAGCAAAGUAGAGGAGUAUUAGAUCAAUUGCAUGAUUUUGGAACAUUUGUAUUGUUUUCUAUAUUCGAGUCUAUAAUUCUAUUAUUCCCAAAACAUAGAAAUUUUAGGGUGUUCUUGAUGUAAUUCACGAAGAUUUUUGUGGUCCUUGGGAAGAUGAAGAAGCAAAAUUCAAGAGGCCUCAGAAGACUUUACAGAGGGAGGAAUUUUUUUCCCUAGUUCCAAUACAUCUUACAUUGAAGAAAACACCUCAAGAGGCGAAGAAAAUAGGAAAAACAACACAGAAAACGCACUAAAGUGCCGAGGCGCACCAUAGAGGGGGCUAGGCACCCCAGAGCUAUUGAACUAAAGCACCUAGUGCAAGCCAGGUGUGCUAGGCGCCUCAGGAUGGCAGGCACAUGCACCUAGCGCAUGGCCUUAGGCGCCUAGCGCAUGGUGGCUUGCGAAAAAAGUCAUUUUCUGUGACUUAUUCGCCCCUAGAAGUCCAUGAUUUUAGCCCAAAUUAGGUGGAAACUUUUCCUAUAAUUACCGCAUUCUUCAUUCAUAAUUUCUCGUUUAGUACCGGCGCAGUUCAAGAAGAAGGCGAUUCUAUGAAACAAGGAGGAGUUAUAUCUUCUCCUAUCUUUACUAGCAUAUGUUUUUAUCUUUUUGUACUUUGUCUUAGUUAUCAUGUGUAACUAGAGACUUAUAGGCUAGAGUUCUA